CCACUCAUUCCGUGUCAUCUGUAUUGUCACGUGUCCCCUUAGAGACAGGCGCCCCAGUGCCCAACCUGGAGUCAUGAUGUCUGCAGGCCCUGAGACGAAUCUGUACCGGUCCUUUAUGUUCCUACCGUACUGUGCUUCUGCCUGAAAAGCCGUGUGCUGUAAUUAGCGCUAGUGGAGCCUUGCUACCGGUCCUAGGUGUCUGAAGCCCUGACUUCUAGCAAACAGUCCGCCGAUCAGCUCCUCCAUCCAACUCUUCAUCUGUAAAUGCUUGUUCAUGCUGUAGAUAGUUUCGAGCCCUCCUCGGUGCCAAGCUCUGAAACUACCAAGUCGAAAUCAAUAUUUGCCCGCGCUGCUCAGUAUUUGCUAGCGGUGAGAGGCAUAGAAGGAGACCUUCUCAAAGACGUCUUUCAGAGAGUAGGGACUGAGAGAUGGCCCCAAUCUGUCCCUCUAUCCCGGGAGUGGGAGCUGCAAAUGAGAUCACACCGGGAAAUCGAUUUGUAAAUAGCAUAAGGUCAGCAGUUUAGCUUCCUGCAAAGACAGAAGAUGCUGAGUAUCUGAAGCAGGUCCUUGUCAGAAAGAGGAAGAUGCUGCCGAUAUCAGAAAUACCUGUCUCAAACCAUAUCACAGUCAUGGGAACAAAAACAGCAAGGUAUUGACUCAAAAACAGGCCUGUUGAUCAAAGGGAU